rnacentral:rRNA from 1 species
AGCAGUAGCCGCGGUAAUACGAAGGGUGCAAGCGUUAAUCGGAAUUACUGGGCGUAAAGCGUGCGUAGGUGGUGGUUUAAGUCCGUUGUGAAAGCCCUGGGCUCAACCUGGGAAUUGCAGUGGAUACUGGGUCACUAGAGUGUGGUAGAGGAUAGUGGAAUUUCCGGUGUAGCAGUGAAAUGCGUAGAGACCGGAAGGAACAUCUGUGGCGAAGGCGACUAUCUGGGCCAACACUGACACUGAGGCGCGAAAGCGUGGGGAGCAAACAGGAUUAGAUACCCCCGUAGUCCCUGUCUCUUAUAC